GAAACACCGAUUCACGAACGAUUAGCGAAGUUAAGCAACGUCAAGCCUGGUAAGUACUUAGAUGGGUGACCACUUGGGAAUACCAGAUGUU